rnacentral:rRNA from 1 species
UGGGGAAUAUUGGACAAUGGGCGAAAGCCUGAUCCAGCCAUGCCGCGUGUGUGAAGAAGGUCUUCGGAUUGUAAAGCACUUUAAGUUGGGAGGAAGGGCAGUAAGCGAAUACUUUGCUGUUUUGACGUUACCGACAGAAUAAGCACCGGCUAACUCUGUGCCAGCAGCCGCGGUAAUACAGAGGGUGCAAGCGCUAAUCGGAAUUACUGGGCGUAAAGCGCGCGUAGGUGGUUCGUUAAGUUGAAUGUGAAAGCCCCGGGCUCAACCUGGGAACAGCAUCAAUAACUGGCGAGCUAGAGUAGGGCAGGGGGUGGUGGAAUUGCCUGUGUGGCGGUGAAAUGCGUAGAUAUAGGAAGGAACAACAGUGGCGAAGGCGACCACCUGGGCUCAUACUAACUCUGAGGUGCGAAAGCGUGGGGAGCAGACAGG